rnacentral:rRNA from 1 species
UACGGAGGGUGCAAGCGUUAUCCGGAUUCACUGGGUUUAAAGGGUGCGUAGGUGGGCAGGUAGGUCAGUGGUGAAAUCUCCGGGCUUAACCCGGAAACUGCCAUUGAUACUAUCUGUCUUGAAUACCGUGGAGGUGAGCGGAAUAUGUCAUGUAGCGGUGAAAUGCUUAGAUAUGACAUAGAACACCAAUUGCGAAGGCAGCUCACUACACGAAUAUUGACACUGAGGCACGAAAGCGUGGGGAUCAAACAGG